rnacentral:rRNA from 1 species
GGAGGAAAAGAAACCAACUGGGAUUACCUUUAGUAACGGCGAGUGAAGCGGUAAAAGCUCAAAUUUGAAAUCUGGUACUUUCAGUGCCCGAGUUGUAAUUUGUAGAAUUUGUCUUUGAUUAGGUCCUUGUCUAUGUUCCUUGGAACAGGACGUCAUAGAGGGUGAGAAUCCCGUUUGGCGAGGAUACCUUUUCUCUGUAAGACUUUUUCGAAGAGUCGAGUUGUUUGGGAAUGCAGCUCAAAGUGGGUGGUAAAUUCCAUCUAAAGCUAAAUAUUGGCGAGAGACCGAUAGCGAACAAGUACAGUGAUGGAAAGAUGAAAAGAACUUUGAAAAGAGAGUGAAAAAGUACGUGAAAUUGUUGAAAGGGAAGGGCAUUUGAUCAGACAUGGUGUUUUUUGCAUGCACUCGCCUCUCGUGGGCUUGGGCCUCUCAAAAAUUUCACUGGGCCAACAUCAAUUCUGGCAGCAGGAUAAAUCAUUAAGAAUGUAGCUACUUCGGUAGUGUUAUAGCUUUUUGGAAUACUGUUAGCCGGGAUUGAGGACUGCGCUUCGGCAAGGAUGUUGGCAUAAUGGUUAAAUGCCGCCCGUCU